AGACCACCAGCUAAGGUCCCAAAAUAUAUGUUAAGUGGAAAAGGAUGUGGCGUUGCCCAGACAACUAGGAUGUUGGCUUAGAAGCAGCCAUCAUUUAAAGAGUGCGUAAUAGCUCACUAGUCGAGUGACACUGCGCCGAAAAUGUACGGGGGCUAAACAUAUUACCGAAGCUGUGGAUUGUCCUUUGGACAAUGGUAGGAGAGCGUUCUAAGGGCGUUGAAGCAUGAUCGUAAGGACAUGUGGAGCGCUUAGAAGUGAGAAUGCCGGUGUGAGUAGCGAAAGACGGGUGAGAAUCCCGUCCACCGAUUGACUAAGGUUUCCAGAGGAAGGCUCGUCCGCUCUGGGUUAGUCGGGUCCUAAGCUGAGGCCGACAGGCGUAGGCGAUGGAUAACAGGUUGAUAUUCCUGUACCACCUAUAAUCGUUUUAAUCGAUGGGGGGACGCAGUAGGAUAGGCGAAGCGUGCGAUUGGAUUGCACGUCUAAGCAGUAAGGCUGAGUAUUAGGCAAAUCCGGUACUCGUUAAGGCUGAGCUGUGAUGGGGAGAAGACAUUGUGUCUUCGAGUCGUUGAUUUCACACUGCCGAGAAAAGCCUCUAGAUAGAAAAUAGGUGCCCGUACCGCAAACCGACACAGGUAGUCAAGAUGAGAAUUCUAAGGUGAGCGAGCGAACUC
rnacentral:rRNA from 2 species